AUAUAUACACACACAUAUAUAUAUAUAUAUAUGCGCACACAUACAUAUAUCCACACUUAUGUGUGUAUAAAGACAAGGUACUGCAACAGUUACAAUCUAAACACUGUGUUUUCAUCAUCUUUUUAGAAGAUGCUUUUUAGAAGCAAAGCCCACCUUCUUGGCUCCAAGCAGGCCAGGUAGCACAGUUCCACUGGGGCAGCUCCAAGGAAAACUUGCUAAAUAGUGAGAAAGAGAUUGUAGUGGAACCUUUCUGAGGACAUUGCUGUGGACUCUACAUGGACCUUGUGGCCUCCUUCUCAUUGACAUACAUAUUGUCUCCAUGCAGAACCAGCCGUAUCAUCCAGAAGAUUCUUCCUGUCAUGUCUGCAAUGGCAAACGAAUUUUCAAAUCAACAACAUGCAAGAAAGUCUGUUAGGAAACGACAAAAAGGUCUAUGUCAGAUCCUAAUUGGAAGAAUCAGGCUUCUCUUUUCAUGUUUAUCUAGGAAUAACAGCGCAGUGGUGGAUCAGUCUCCUUUAGACCCAUCCCUGGAAGCAGUUUCCUCCCCAAAGCAUAAACAGCACUUCAAAGGGGCAGCUGACCCAGUCCAUACGUCUGACCAUGCAGAUCUGCUGGGGGAGGCCAAGAAGACUCUGCAGACAGAGGGAGAAGCUCAGGGCGAACUCAACCAAAGGGAGACUUUGCUGACAGAAGAUUUGGAUGAGAAAUUCAUGCAGCUGGAGAAGGAAAAAAGUCAACAGAUUCUGAUGAGUAUUGAGCAGAGCUUGUUGCAGAAUCCUCCAAUGGUUAGGCUGGAAGAAAAUGUGAUGAAACUUAAGAAAGAGCUCAGUGAAAUGGAAAUGGCAAAUCAAAUCAUGAAAACUCAGCUGAGGAAAGUCAUCCACAUCCAUGUAAGUUGAGAUAAGUGAGGUUUCUUCAGAAACUCAACCAGGGGUUUUGUUUGUCAGUAUUGUGGGAAGCUCCUCUAUUUCAUUUAAACAAACAGGUGCCCUUUUUGUUCUUCACUUAUGGGAAGUUCACUUAGGUCGCACGGAAAAAAAUUGUUUUUACACGUAAUUAGGGGAAAAUAAAAUAUUUAAAAAAGAUAUUUAAGUUUUGUUA
rnacentral:lncRNA from 1 species